rnacentral:misc_RNA from 1 species
GAAGCCACUCCAGCGUAUAAGAAGCAAUGCUGCUUGGUAAUGCCAAACACAAUAAAGUGGAACAGAAUAACGAUUGCAAGAAGCAGAUACACAGAUCCCUGAAGAAAACAAUACCCCAAAUUGGCUCUCCUCAUGUUCUUCCCAAAUCUAUAGCAAGGGCAAAAGGAGGACUCAAUCGCGAUCCGGCGAUCAGCGAGGCAGUCGAGGACGGUCCCCUCCCACAGCCUCUGCACCCCG